ensembl:piRNA 21ur-145 ncRNA
UGGUUAUAGAGUAUGUAUGCG